rnacentral:rRNA from 1 species
CCUUCGGGAACUCUGACACAGGUGCUGCAUGGCUGUCGUCAGCUCGUGUCGUGAGAUGUUGGGUUAAGUCCGUAACGAGCGCAACCCUUGUCCUUAGUUACCAGCACGUUAUGGUGGGCACUCUAAGGAGACUGCCGGUGACAAACCGGAGGAAGGUGGGGAGUGACGUCAAGUCAUCAUGGCCCUUACGGCCUGGGCUACACACGUGCUACAAUGGUCGGUACAAAGGGUUGCCAAGCCGCGAGGUGGAGCUAAUCCCAUAAAACCGAUCGUAGUCCGGAUCGCAGUCUGCAACUCGACUGCGUGAAGUCGGAAUCGCUAGUAAUCGUGAAUCAGAAUGUCACGGUGAAUACGUUCCCGGGCCUU